ACAGCCCCGUACACAAAAGCGCAUGUGCUGUGAGCUCGAUGAGUAGGGCGGGACACGUGGUAUCCUGUCUGAAUAUGGGGGGACCAUCCUCCAAGGCUAAAUACUCCUGACUGACCGAUAGUGAACCAGUACCGUGAGGGAAAGGCGAAAAGAACCCCGGCGAGGGGAGUGAAAAAGAACCUGAAACCGUGUACGUACAAGCAGUGGGAGCACCCUUUGGGGUGUGACUGCGUACCUUUUGUAUAAUGGGUCAGCGACUUAUAUUCUGUAGCAAGGUUAACCGAAUAGGGGAGCCGGAGGGAAACCGAGUCUUAAUUGGGCGUUAAGUUGCAGGGUAUAGACCCGAAACCCGGUGAUCUAGCCAUGGGCAGGUUGAAGGUUGGGUAACACUAACUGGAGGACCGAACCGACUAAUGUUGAAAAAUUAGCGGAUGACCUGUGGCUGGGGGUGAAAGGCCAAUCAAACCGGGAGAUAGCUGGUUCUCCCCGAAAGCUAUUUAGGUAGCGCCUCGUGAAUUCAUCUCCGGGGGUAGAGCACUGUUUCGGCUAGGGGGCCAUCCCGGCUUACCAACCCGAUGCAAACUGCGAAUACCGGAGAAUGUUAUCACGGGAGACACACGGCGGGUGCUAACGUCCGUCGUGAAGAGGGAAACAACCCAGACCGCCAGCUAAGGUCCCAAAGUCAUGGUUAAGUGGGAAACGAUGUGGGAAGGCCCAGACAGCCAGGAUGUUGGCUUAGAAGCAGCCAUCAUUUAAAGAAAGCGUAAUAGCUCACUGGUCGAGUCGGCCUGCGCGGAAGAUGUAACGGGGCUAAACCAUGCACCGAAGCUGCGGCAGCGAACGUAUCACCCAAGACAACUUUACGGAGUUGACGAUUGACGGAGCGAAGCGACGUCAAAGCGUUCAUUAAAGUCGAGUUGGCUUAGGGAUACGUUCGUUGGGUAGGGGAGCGUUCUGUAAGCCUGUGAAGGUGUGUCGUGAGGCAUGCUGGAGGUAUCAGAAGUGCGAAUGCUGACAUAAGUAACGAUAAAGCGGGUGAAAAGCCCGCUCGCCGGAAGACCAAGGGUUCCUGUCCAACGUUAAUCGGGGCAGGGUGAGUCGACCCCUAAGGCGAGGCCGAAAGGCGUAGUCGAUGGGAAACGGGUUAAUAUUCCCGUACUUGGUGUUACUGCGAAGGGGGGACGGAGAAGGCUAUGUUGGCCGGGCGACGGUUGUCCCGGUUUAAGCGUGUAGGUGUGUGUUCCAGGUAAAUCCGGUU
rnacentral:rRNA from 1 species